UCUUCUUUGGUUCCUCCACACGAGAAUUCCAGCCUACCACCGCCUGCGGCGGCGGCCGCUAGGGCCAGGGCCUGAUGGCUAGGGUGUGUGCUGGACCCUGCGGCACGGCCGAGCAGGGUGGCCGGGAGCCGGCAGGAAGAGGCACCGUACCAGGCGUUUCUCCUCGGCCGCCGCCGCAUAGGCCGCUAUCGAUACCUCGCCGUUAUUUACCUUUGAUCUUCCGUUUCCCGAUCUGGUUCUUCAUCAUUUUGUGUUUUUGUUGGAUGAAUCUAGUCAUUGGGUGCUGUUGCUCGCAGGCUGCGGCCAUGGAAGAUCCCGGAGGAAGAUUGACGCCAGCGGAUGCCGAUCUUGUACAGAGCGAUCGAGGAUCCCGUCCCAGAGCGCUGACCUGACGGCCUACCCUGUCAGUAGCCUCGCUCAUGCGGGCGUUAUAGUUCGUCUCGCCCGUCUAUACCAUGGGAUCGGAGGCCAGGACGCCAAAUUUCCAAAUUUCCAAGCAUGGUGGCUGGACCGUGAUGUACGCGUUCCAGGUUUCACGUCACUUCUUCAUAGACCUGGUAGACGGGGAGUAGGAGGAGCAGGAGAUGUGGGUUUCGCAGUGGUGAUGGUUU